GACAGAGGCGCCAAGCGUUAGGCGGAAUCACUGGGCUUAAAGCGUGUGUAGGUGGACUGGUAAGUACCUUGUGAAAUCCCACGGCUUAACCGUGGAACUGCUUGGUAUACUGCUGGUCUUGAGCUAUCUAGGGGUUACCGGAACAAACGGUGGAGCGGUGAAAUGCGUAGAUAUCCGGAGGAACACCGGUGGCGAAGGCGGCUUCCUGGACCGACACUGACGAUGAGGCGCGAAAGCUAGGGAGCAAACGGG
rnacentral:rRNA from 1 species